rnacentral:snRNA from 1 species
GUGCUUGUUUCAGCAGCACACAUACUAAAGCUGGAACAGAGAUUAGCAUGGCCCCUGUGCAAGGAUGACAUGCAAAUUCAUGAAGUGUACCAUAUUUUU